rnacentral:tRNA from 1 species
GGUAGCUUAGUGGUAGAGUGCUUGCCUAGCAUGCAUGAAGCCCGAGGUUUGAUUCCUCAGUACCA